UUUUACAGAAGACAAUCACAUUCUUUCAUUACAGGAACAAUUAAUAAAAAAAAAAUAACAUCUUGUUUUUUUACAGCAAACUAUUAGAUAAAAUGUACCCAGUCAGGCAUUUAUCCAGUAUAUUUAACGUUUAGUAUCUUUAUUUUCACGAUAUGGCCAUCUUCAGAUGAGCAUUAGUAACCUUGGAAUACAUUUCAAGUAUUGUGUUUUUUCUUAUUGAAGUGCACGAGAAACAUUAAUAAAUAAAAUAAUAUAGUUAUACAACAGAUGGUACAACAAUAGAAGCCCGUUUCUAGUGGCGAUCAGCAGAACUUGACUGCUUCAAAUCUCGUACGUUUGAAUAUAAGUAACUUAUCUGGUCACUAAAAAUUGAUGUUAUAGGCAGUGGAGAAAAUCCAGCAUAAGUUCUGUCCACUUUUGCUAAGCAUAAGUCCGCAAUAUACUUGAAAAGUUCAUGCUUCUGGGCAAAAGGUUGAGCUGCAUAUUCCUCAAAUGGUAUCCACUGGGCUGCUUCAAUCUCUAGUUCCUGCUUUUGGAUGUCAAAAGAUAAGGGACGCAGGAAGCACAAGAAGAAUAAAUCCGACUUCCCAAAGAAUGAUUUGUGUGACUGUCUGUAAGUUGAGGCAACAUUAAAAUGUAAGAAAAAUGUUAAGGCAUCAAAUUGAUUGAAGUCAACAAAUCCUUAUUUAACACUUCAGUAGUUGAAAUGCUACCAGAAUAUAUAUAUAUAUGUAUAUAAUCUUAAGUUCCAAAUAUAUUUUGAACUUGAGUUGAUUUUCACCAUGGCAUUGCAUUCAUUUAGAUCACUUGCAUUUAUUUUGUGUUUGUCAUUAUUAUCUAAUUAAUAA
rnacentral:misc_RNA from 1 species